rnacentral:rRNA from 1 species
UGCGCCACAAGUGGCAGCCACUUUUAUUGGGCCUAAAGCGUCCGUAGCCGGUUUUGUAAAUUUCUUGUGAAAUCGUCAUGCUUAACGUGACGACGUGCAGGGAAAACUGCAAAACUUGGAACCGGGAGGAGUUAGAGGUAUUCUAGGGGGAGCGGUAAAAUGCUAUAAUCCCUAGAGGACCACCCGUGGCAGAGGCGUCUAACUAGAACGGAUUCGACGGUGAGGGACGAAAGCCAGGGGAGCGAUCC